rnacentral:rRNA from 1 species
GCAUAUCAAUAAGCGGAGGAAAAGAAACUAACAAGGAUUCCCCUAGUAACUGCGAGUGAAGCGGGAAAAGCUCAAAUUUAAAAUCUGGCGGUCCUUGGCCGUCCGAGUUGUAAUCUAGAGAAGUGUUACCCGCGUCGGACCGUGUACAAGUCUCCUGGAAUGGAGCGUCAUAGAGGGUGAGAAUCCCGUCUUUGACACGGACUACCGAGGCUUUGUGGUGCGCUCUCAAAGAGUCGAGUUGUUUGGGAAUGCAGCUCAAAAUGGGUGGUAAAUUCCAUCUAAAGCUAAAUAUUGGCGAGAGACCGAUAGCGAACAAGUACCGUGAGGGAAAGAUGAAAAGAACUUUGGAAAGAGAGUUAAACAGUACGUGAAAUUGCUGAAAGGGAAACGCUUGAAGUCAGUCGCGUCGUCCGGGAAUCAGCCUUCCUUCUGGUUGGUGUACUUCCUGGUCGACGGGCCAGCAUCAGUUUUGACCGGUGGAGAAAGUUCGAGGGAAUGUGGCACCUCCGGGUGUGUUAUAGCCCUCGUUCGUAUACAUCGGUUGGGACUGAGGAACUCAGCACGCCGCAAGGCCGGGAUUCGUCCACGUUCGUGCUUAGGAUGCUGGCAUAAUGGCUUUAAUCGACCCGUCUUGAAACACGGACC